GAUGAACGUUGGCGGCAUGGAUUAGGCAUGCAAGUCGAGCGAGAAGUGUAGCAAUACACGGAAAGCGGCGGAAGGGAGAGUAAUACGUGGGAAUCUGCCCUUAGACCUGGGAUAGCAGCGGGAAACUGCUGGUAAUACCAGAUAAUGUCUAUGGACCAAAGGUGUGAUUCCGUCUAGGGAUGAGCCCACGUCCUAUUAGCUAGUUGGUAGGGUAAUGGCCUACCAAGGCGAUGAUGGGUAGCGGGUGUGAGAGCAUGACCCGCCUCACUGGGACUGAGACACUGCCCAGACACCUACGGGUGGCUGCAGUCGAGAAUCUUCGGCAAUGGGCGCAAGCCUGACCGAGCGAUGCCGCGUGCGGGAUGAAGGCCUUCGGGUUGUAAACCGCUGUCGAGGGGGAGCAACUUCCAUAGAGUUAUCUUUAUGGAUUGAGUGAUCCCUGGAGGAAGGACGGGCUAAGUUCGUGCCAGCCGCCGCGGUAA
rnacentral:rRNA from 1 species